GACGAACGCUGGCGGCGUGCCUAACACAUGCAAGUCGAACGGGGAGUUAUUUAUAACUCCUAGUGGCGAACGGGUGAGUAACGCGUAGACAACCUGCCUCUAAAUUGGGGACAACACCGCGAAUGUGGUGCUAAUACCGAAUGUGAUAACUUGAUCGCAUGAUCGAGUUAAGAAAGAUGGCCUCUAUUUAUAAGCUAUCGAUUAGAGAUGGGUCUGCGUCUGAUUAGCUAGUUGGUGAGGUAAUGGCUCACCAAGGCGACGAUCAGUAGCCGGUCUGAGAGGAUGAACGGCCACACUGGGACUGAGACACGGCCCAGACUCCUACGGGAGGCAGCAGUGGGGAAUCUUCCGCAAUGGACGAAAGUCUGACGGAGCAACGCCGCGUGAGUGAAGAAGGUCUUCGGAUUGUAAAGCUCUGUCGUUUGGGACGAACGUGAGCUGUGUGAACAAUGCAGCUUAAUGACGGUACCAAAGGAGGAAGCCACGGCUAACUACGUGCCAGCCGCCGCGGUAACAC
rnacentral:rRNA from 1 species